UACGUAGGGGGCAAGCGUUGUCCGGAAUUAUUGGGCGUAAAGAGCUCGUAGGUGGCUUGUCGCGUCUGCCGUGAAAUCCUGUGGCUUAACUGCGGGUCUGCGGUGGAUACGGGCUGGCUUGAGGUAAGUAGGGGCAAGCGGAAUUCCUGGUGUAGCGGUGAAAUGCGCAGAUAUCAGGAGGAACACCGGUGGCGAAGGCGGCUUGCUGGGCCUUACCUGACGCUGAGGAGCGAAAGCGUGGGGAGCGAACAGG
rnacentral:rRNA from 1 species